AGCCCCGUGGUGUUGAACACACCGGAUUGCAAAUCCGGAGAAGCGAGUUAAUGGCUAGCCGGGGCUU
rnacentral:tRNA from 2 species